UUAAGCGACUAAGCGUACACGGUGGAUGCCCUGGCAGUCAGAGGCGAUGAAGGGCGUGCUAAUCUGCGAUAAGCGCCGGUAAGGUGAUAUGAACCGUUAUAACCGGCGAUACCCGAAUGGGGAAACCCAGUGUGAUUCGUCACACUAUCAUUAACUGAAUCCAUAGGUUAAUGAGGCGAACCGGGGGAACUGAAACAUCUAAGUACCCCGAGGAAAAGAAAUCAACCGAGAUUCCCCCAGUAGCGGCGAGCGAACGGGGAGGAGCCCAGAGCCUGAAUCAGCAUGUGUGUUAGUGGAAGCGUCUGGAAAGGCGCGCGAUACAGGGUGACAGCCCCGUACACAAAAGCGCAUGUGCUGUGAGCUCGAUGAGUAGGGCGGGACACGUGGUAUCCUGUCUGAAUAUGGGGGGACCAUCCUCCAAGGCUAAAUACUCCUGACUGACCGAUAGUGAACCAGUACCGUGAGGGAAAGGCGAAAAGAACCCCGGCGAGGGGAGUGAAAAAGAACCUGAAACCGUGUACGUACAAGCAGUGGGAGCACAGGUUUACCUGUGUGACUGCGUACCUUUUGUAUAAUGGGUCAGCGACUUAUAUUCUGUAGCAAGGUUAACCGAAUAGGGGAGCCGGAGGGAAACCGAGUCUUAAUUGGGCGUUAAGUUGCAGGGUAUAGACCCGAAACCCGGUGAUCUAGCCAUGGGCAGGUUGAAGGUUGGGUAACACUAACUGGAGGACCGAACCGACUAAUGUUGAAAAAUUAGCGGAUGACCUGUGGCUGGGGGUGAAAGGCCAAUCAAACCGGGAGAUAGCUGGUUCUCCCCGAAAGCUAUUUAGGUAGCGCCUCGUGAAUUCAUCUCCGGGGGUAGAGCACUGUUUCGGCUAGGGGGCCAUCCCGGCUUACCAACCCGAUGCAAACUGCGAAUACCGGAGAAUGUUAUCACGGGAGACACACGGCGGGUGCUAACGUCCGUCGUGAAGAGGGAAACAACCCAGACCGCCAGCUAAGGUCCCAAAGUCAUGGUUAAGUGGGAAACGAUGUGGGAAGGCCCAGACAGCCAGGAUGUUGGCUUAGAAGCAGCCAUCAUUUAAAGAAAGCGUAAUAGCUCACUGGUCGAGUCGGCCUGCGCGGAAGAUGUAACGGGGCUAAACCAUGCACCGAAGCUGCGGCAGCGACGCUGAUGCGUUGUUGGGUAGGGGAGCGUUCUGUAAGCCUGUGAAGGUGUGUCGUGAGGCAUGCUGGAGGUAUCAGAAGUGCGAAUGCUGACAUAAGUAACGAUAAAGCGGGUGAAAAGCCCGCUCGCCGGAAGACCAAGGGUUCCUGUCCAACGUUAAUCGGGGCAGGGUGAGUCGACCCCUAAGGCGAGGCCGAAAGGCGUAGUCGAUGGGAAACGGGUUAAUAUUCCCGUACUUGGUGUUACUGCGAAGGGGGGACGGAGAAGGCUAUGUUGGCCGGGCGACGGUUGUCCCGGUUUAAGCGUGUAGGUGUGUGUUCCAGGUAAAUCCGGUUCACUUUAACACUGAGGCGUGAUGACGAGGCACUACGGUGCUGAAGCAACAAAUGCCCUGCUUCCAGGAAAAGCCUCUAAGCAUCAGGUAACAUCAAAUCGUACCCCAAACCGACACAGGUGGUCAGGUAGAGAAUACCAAGGCGCUUGAGAGAACUCGGGUGAAGGAACUAGGCAAAAUGGUGCCGUAACUUCGGGAGAAGGCACGCUGACACGUAGGUGAAGUGAUUUACUCACGGAGCUGAAGUCAGUCGAAGAUACCAGCUGGCUGCAACUGUUUAUUAAAAACACAGCACUGUGCAAACACGAAAGUGGACGUAUACGGUGUGACGCCUGCCCGGUGCCGGAAGGUUAAUUGAUGGGGUCAGCGCAAGCGAAGCUCCUGAUCGAAGCCCCGGUAAACGGCGGCCGUAACUAUAACGGUCCUAAGGUAGCGAAAUUCCUUGUCGGGUAAGUUCCGACCUGCACGAAUGGCGUAAUGAUGGCCAGGCUGUCUCCACCCGAGACUCAGUGAAAUUGAACUCGCUGUGAAGAUGCAGUGUACCCGCGGCAAGACGGAAAGACCCCGUGAACCUUUACUAUAGCUUGACACUGAACAUUGAGCCUUGAUGUGUAGGAUAGGUGGGAGGCUUUGAAGUGUGGACGCCAGUCUGCAUGGAGCCGACCUUGAAAUACCACCCUUUAAUGUUUGAUGUUCUAACGUGGACCCGUAAUCCGGGUUGCGGACAGUGUCUGGUGGGUAGUUUGACUGGGGCGGUCUCCUCCUAAAGAGUAACGGAGGAGCACGAAGGUUGGCUAAUCCUGGUCGGACAUCAGGAGGUUAGUGCAAUGGCAUAAGCCAGCUUGACUGCGAGCGUGACGGCGCGAGCAGGUGCGAAAGCAGGUCAUAGUGAUCCGGUGGUUCUGAAUGGAAGGGCCAUCGCUCAACGGAUAAAAGGUACUCCGGGGAUAACAGGCUGAUACCGCCCAAGAGUUCAUAUCGACGGCGGUGUUUGGCACCUCGAUGUCGGCUCAUCACAUCCUGGGGCUGAAGUAGGUCCCAAGGGUAUGGCUGUUCGCCAUUUAAAGUGGUACGCGAGCUGGGUUUAGAACGUCGUGAGACAGUUCGGUCCCUAUCUGCCGUGGGCGCUGGAGAACUGAGGGGGGCUGCUCCUAGUACGAGAGGACCGGAGUGGACGCAUCACUGGUGUUCGGGUUGUCAUGCCAAUGGCACUGCCCGGUAGCUAAAUGCGGAAGAGAUAAGUGCUGAAAGCAUCUAAGCACGAAACUUGCCCCGAGAUGAGUUCUCCCUGAGACUUAGAGUCUCCUGAAGGAACGUUGAAGACGACGACGUUGAUAGGCCGGGUGUGUAAGCGCAGCGAUGCGUUGAGCUAACCGGUACUAAUGAACCGUGAGGCUUAACCUU
rnacentral:rRNA from 1 species